AUGGGUGAUCUUAAUGAGAUACUGUAUGACAUGGAGAAAAGUUCGGUCUAUGUUAAGUCUAAUCGGAUGUAUGCCUUUCAUUCUAUGCUGAAAAUUUGUGGUUUCUUUGACCUGGGUUAUAGUGGACCAGCCUACACUUGGACUAACAAGCGUUUUUCCUCUAAGCCCAUAUAUGAGAGACUGGACAGAUGCUUAGUGAAUCCAGACUGGUGUGAGCUUUUUCCUAAUACUAAUGUAUUCAACUUGCCCAUUAUUUUUAGCGAUCAUGCUCCCAUUUUAAUCUCCACUGAUGGACAGUACAAAAAACCAAGGCAGGACUUUAAAUUUGAGAAU
rnacentral:rRNA from 1 species